GAUGAAGAACGUAGCGAAAUGCGAUAAGUAAUGUGAAUUGCAGAAUUCAGUGAAUCAUCGAAUCUUUGAACGCACAUUGCGCCCGCCAGUAUUCUGGCGGGCAUGCCUGUUCGAGCGUCAUUUCAACCAUCAAGCCCCCGGCUUGUGUUGGGGACCUGCGGCUGCCGCAGGCCCUGAAAACCAGUGGCGGGCUCGCUAGUCACUCCGAGCGUAGUAAUACAUCUCGCUCAGGGCGUGCUGCGGGUUCCGGCCGUUAAAACGCCUUAUUUACCCAAGGUUGACCUCGGAUCAGGUAGGAAGACCCGCUGAACUUAAGCAUAUCAAUAAGCGGAGGA
rnacentral:misc_RNA from 1 species